rnacentral:rRNA from 1 species
GCAUGGCCGUUCUUAGUUCGUGGAGUGAUCUGUCUGCUUAAUUGCGUUUCACUAUUGGAUCUAUAUACCGCGCAUGUGUUGCGGCAUUGACCCCAUUGAUUUCACUAUCAAUGUGCGCGUCUUUCGCUUAGCUCACUGCGCUUUAGAUCCUGAAAGCAACGAACGUGACCGCAACCUCUUGUUGCUUUCAUACCCAAUGCGCGAUAUAUACUCGUAUAUUUCACGCAUAAGAAAGCUUAUACAUGUAUUGCUACGGCAUUACAUCACAAACUAGAGGGACCGCUGUUACUUUCUUAAACCAGAGGAAGGUUGCGGCAAUAACAGGUCUGUGAUGCCCUUAGAUGUUCCGGGCUGCACACGUGCUACAAUGAUUAUUGCAGUGAGCAUCUCAUUUUUUUACUACACCGCAUGCGCGAGUCUAUUUGUCUGCUCUGCUUCGGCUAGCUGCUCAAAUACGAUCUCUGCGCGCGGUAAAGCCUACUUCGAAAGUAAGCGGGUAAUCAAUUAGAAGUAAUGAUUUCCUAUUUUCUCUGCACACAUAUAUGCGGCAUAUCUACCCGGCAUGCCUUGUUGCAUGUUCUUUGUGCGUAGAUGUGUACCCUUUUUCCGCAUGUGCAAUUUCAAUUCAUGGUGGG